GAUGAACGCUGGCGGCGUGCCUAACACAUGCAAGUCGAGCGAUUUACUUCGGUAAAGAGCGGCGGACGGGUGAGUAACGCGUGGGUAACCUGCCCUGUACACACGGAUAACAUACCGAAAGGUAUGCUAAUACGAGAUAAUAUACUUUUAUCUCAUGGUAGAAGUAUCAAAGCUCUGGCGGUACAGGAUGGACCCGCGUCUGAUUAGCUAGUUGGUAAGGUAACGGCUUACCAAGGCGACGAUCAGUAGCCGACCUGAGAGGGUGAUCGGCCACAUUGGAACUGAGACACGGUCCAAACUCCUACGGGAGGCAGCAGUGGGGAAUAUUGCACAAUGGGCGAAAGCCUGAUGCGGCAACGCCGCGUGAGCGAUGAAGGCCUUCGGGUCGUAAAGCUCUGUCCUCAAGGAAGAUAAUGACGGUACUUGAGGAGGAAGCCCCGGCUAACUACGUGCCAGCCGCCGCGGUAA
rnacentral:rRNA from 1 species